rnacentral:ncRNA from 3 species
GCAAUAACAGGUCUGUGAUG